GCUAGUACUGGCGCGGGAGGCGGGAGGUUGGAGGCGAGGAGCUCGCGGCCUAGGCUGUUUGGGUCCCUGGCGCGAGCUGUAGACGGAGAGAGGGGUCCGGAGAAGGAGGGGUGAAAGUAGCAGUUAGCCCGCGAUCUCAGAAGGGCUGCCCGCCCCUCACGGUCCCUUAAUAGCACGUUGCGUCCUGGAAGUUCUAAAACGUCCCGCUUCAAUAUGAAUUUUAAAUUAGUGAAAACAUAUGUGUAUUGUUUUAGGCUUUCCCACCGCGGGGACGGCCCUCCGGGGGUUGACUUAGCUGGGAUGCAGAAUAGAAGCUGGGCCUUUGUCUGACUACCCUGCAACAGUCAGCCACAGACGGGAAGGCAGCGCAGGAAACUGAGGCCAAAGGAGCCGCGCUUCCUCAUGAGCAUGAAGCGGCAAAGCCUGAACUAGAAGCUUCUAACGCCUAACCGUCCUCUUGCCGCACCAGGACCUACCUCUGCAAGGCCCUUCCUGACUUUUUCCUUAGAAUGUGUGUAUAUGUGUCUUUUUCCUUUUCUGAUGCUAAGACACCUCAGAAACACCAAUGUUAAGCAGAUUUCCAUCGUUGGAGGUUAAAACACCCGAAUACAAGUGUUUUCUUGAGUGUGGCAUCUGGUCAGAUGUUUUAUGGGUUGGUUUGUUUUUAAAAAAAAAAAAUUUCCUGUUAGAUGGGUGGUAAGAACCAGUCAGAGUUUGUAAACCCACCAAGCACGAGGCGGUCGGACCGUCCAGAUUCUGGAGUCCAGAAGACACCAAACGUUCUCAGAAUGCCGAACGCGGGCGCCACCUGGUGGGACUAGAACGCUUAUUGUCCCAAAUCAGCAUAGCACACAGUUCCCAUAAAUCUUAAAAAUUCCCAUCCAAGGCUCAUUUCCGUGUGACUAAAAGUCAUAUUCUCUGUUCUCGUGACUCCAAGUAAAAAUGUCCCUAAAGAGCCAAAGUAUCUUCACUGUAUAAACUAAUAAUCUAUUGGUUUGGGGAAUUUUAUUUUUUGUGAUCAAUGUUACUUUAGCCUUUCUAUGAUAUACAUAUAAAUAAAAAAG
rnacentral:lncRNA from 1 species